GAACGCGACGCGGGGCCGUUGCGUAGCGGAGGGAAAAAAAAAUAAAAAAGCGGAUCUCUUCUCCCCCCUCCGGUAACAGAAACGGGGAGAGUCCAAGCGCUGGGGCCGACGUCGAUGCCACGGUGAAAUGUGGUGCCCGGGGAAGCUCCUCGCAGGGCGCUGCGGCCGAAGGGGACCGGGCCGGGGACCCCCCCUCCUCCUCCAGGGUCCCAUGUUU
rnacentral:lncRNA from 1 species